rnacentral:rRNA from 1 species
AUUGAACGCUGGCGGCAGGCUUAACACAUGCAAGUCGAGCGAGCGGCGGACGGGUGAGUAAUGUCUGGGAAACUGCCUGCUGGAGGGGGAUAACUACUGGAACCGGUAGCUAAUACCGCAUACCAUCAGAUGUGCCCAGGUGGGAUUAGCUAGUAGGUGGGGUAAUGGGUCACCUAGGCGACGAUCCCUAGCUGGGUUGAGAGGAUGACCGGCCAAACUGGAACUGAGAGACGGUCAAGACGCCCACGCGAGGCAGCAGGGGGGAAUAUGGCACAAUGGGCGCAAGCCUGAUGGAGCCAUGCAGCGUGGGUGAAUAAGGCCUUCGGGUUGUAAAGUACUUUCAGCGAGGAGGCGUUACUCGCAGAAGAAGCACCGGCUAACUCCGUGCCAGCAGCCGCGGUAAUUC